GGGUUUGUAGCUCAGUGGAUUAGAGUUCAUGACUCCGAAGCAUGAGGUCAAGGGUUCGAAUCCCUUCUAACCCUU
rnacentral:tRNA from 1 species